rnacentral:lncRNA from 1 species
AAAAAAAAAAAAAAGAAAUAGCCGCUUCUACGAGCCCUGCCAGCCCAGCCCCGUGGCAGCGGCCGCGUCCCUCCCGCGCAUCCCCGACCCCGCACGGGGCGGCCGCGGGGCACAGCGGGCACAGCCGGCGGCGGAGAGCGGAGCGGGGCGGAAUCGAAAAUGGAACGAGUCGGCGGAGAAGCGCUUCCAUCCUCCACCUCCUGCCCCCUAGCGCAGCUUCGCUAUCAAAAACAGCGACCCACCUGCGCUUCCCUCCCCGCCCGGCCCUCGGGUGCCAUGGAAACCCCUGGAUCGCCUCCAUCUCCC